CUUUUCGAAGCCCACCACUGUUUCCUUCGCUUCGUUUCCUCCAAUGCAUCCCAACGAGCCCAACACUGUAACAUGAUUAUUUCCUGCUUGCUGGGUUCCAAAAUGCCGCAGAAGAUGUGAAGGUUAGGCGUUGUUUGUAUGAUUUUAAGCCCGAGUGGGUGCCUCUUGGGGAAUUAGAACGUUUAACCAUUAAUGAAGAAGAACCGAAGUUGAAGGUUUCUUUUCUUCACUGUGAUGCAAGGGUUCAAACUUUUUUAGCCUGCCCAGAACCGAAGUUGAAGGUUUCUUUUCUUCACUGUGAUGCAAGGGUUCAAACUUUUUCAGCCUGCCCAAAACUCAAGUUCGACUGCUCUCCCCUAAGUGUAACCAUGACUCAUCUCUCCGGCGCGAUUCAUGUGGCGUCUCUCGGCUUAUCCAAAUUCCAUUCAUUUUCACAGUGUGCUUGACAAUUAAAAGGAUAACAGGAAAAUGGAAUGAUACUGAUUCUGAUCAAAACAGCAAGUUCUUCGGAGGAGAGUACUGAUACUGAUCAAAACAACCAGUUCAUCAGUUUAUAUUCUUAUUGCUGUAAUGUAUGUUGUGUACAAGUUUUUAUAAUGUAUGUUGUAAUGUAUACGUUGUGUACAAGUUUUUAUAAUGCAAUAUUGAGGUUCUGUUUCAUUAUUGGAUGAAUUUUUCAUGUAAUGUUCUCUUGGAUGUACUUCUCAUUUUAAGUUUCAUGACAAAAAAAUUGAGCAAUUUGUAAUUGUCCAGCAGGUAAUUG